AGCAAGACCCUGUCUCAAUCAAUCAAUCAAUCAAUCAAUCAAUCAAUACCAUCCUAGCCGGGUCUGUGGUCUCAACUACUCGUGAGGCUGCAACUUACUGGCCACAGGAAUGACCCAAGGCACUGGAUAAAAAUUCAGAUUCCUGCGGACUCUGAUUCCGAAGCUCCUCCCUGGAGUAGGCCGGGGAUCCCCAGGAAAAAUCAGCAGUUAUCCACGCUCAAGCAGCAUCAGAUCUUCAGCCUCGGCCCCCUUCCCCUUUCUGCCUGAAUUUCCAUGGCUUUCCUGAAAGGUCUGCUUGAAUUCCUCACAGUUCUACUCGUUGUAAACUGGAAAUGGUCCAGAUGCACUUGGAAGUUGGACUUCAACUCGAGUCCCAGAUUCACCUCUUACUAACUCCGUGGCCUUGGACAAGUUACUUAAUGUUUCUGAGUGUCUGUUUUCUCAUCUAUAAACUGAAGAUGACGGUAGUACCACAUCAAAGGCUGUCACAGGAUGCAUGGCAUUUAGCCAGUGCCUGGCAUGUGACAAACUCUCAGGGCACUCUCCUAUGACGUUGUUUGCACCUUGCUUUCUUACUCCAGCAAUGCGUACAAACAUCUUCCUUUUAUAGCAAGGGGACACUUCUAGCCCCAGUCUUUUAUAGGAACCUCGGGUCUAUAGCUCCAAUCCUAGACCAUCAAUACCACCAGUGGUGUUUUGUUGGUGUCAAAUUUUCACCUGGUCCCACUCAGCCUAGCUACAAGUUCCUCCUCCCCGACCUGCCUGCCCCCAUCUUAGUCAUGUCAUCUGUUCUCUGAGGCCUCCCGACAGAAGCCACCAGAAUACCUCCCUCUCUCUCCACAGUUAUCUGGGUUUCAAGCAAUUCUGUUAUUUCACUCUAAAGGGAGAGAAUGGAAUCAGAUAGACCUCCCUUUUUGUCCUGGCCCUGUUGCUUACACAGUGUGUGACGGUGAGCAGCCAUCUCUCUUCCCUGAGCCUCAGUUUCUUCAUCUGUAAGAUGGAGUGAUAGCUGACCUGCCACGUAGGGCUGCGGUUCUGAUGGCGAAAUGAGAUGGCUCGCGUAAGUGUGCAGCACCCUGAGAUCAGAGGGUCAUGCUCCACACACACAACUGCGAUUGCACCACUGCUGUGUGAUCCCCAUCUUGCUUGCUCUAGCCCUGGCUGUCAUUCCAGCCCUGUUUGCAGCACUGACAUGGCCUCCUAACAUGUCCCCACCUUCAAUCUUUCCCAGGACAAAUUUCAGUGUGUCACCAGGAUGACUUUCCCAAGGCAUAUCUGGAGCAGGUCAGUCUCUGCUCAAGACUUGGAUGGCUACAGUCCCCCUACCAUUGAACAGCUGGAGGCGUCCCAGCCCCAGCAUGGCUUCCACAGGCCCCGUGGCUCUGGAUGCAGAGUCUGUUUCCAGCCUGGGACGGAGCUGUGCUCAGCACUUUCCCACCCCUCUUUGUGAGUGCCCACCACCUGCACGGAGACUGUUUCUCAUUAUCCCAGCAGCCCCCGCCGGGCUCAGACAUCCCUCCUGGAGCUUGUAUUUCCAGGUCCCCUCCGGGUCCCGCUCCCCUGAGCAAACACUUGGUGCACUGGCCACUGCCCACGCAUCCUGCUGCACAGGGCUCUGUCUCCACCAUGACCCUGCAGCCUCGAGAGCAGAUGCCCAUUCUGUUCACUUUUGCAUCCUCUCUGCACCCCCAGCUUCCCUCUGCAAGUCUGAAAUGUUUGUUCACUCUCCUGCUAAUAAAUAACAUUUUUCUCAG